UACGUAGGGGGCAAGCGUUGUCCGGAAUCAUUGGGCGUAAAGAGCGUGUAGGCGGCUCGAUAAGUCCGCUCUGAAAGCCCGGGGCUCAACCCCGGGAGGCGGGCGGAUACUGUCGAGCUAGAGUCCUGAAGAGGCGAGUGGAAUUCCUGGUGUAGCGGUGAAAAUGCGCAGAUAUCAGGAGGAACACCAAUGGCGAAGGCAGCUCGCUGGGGACGGUACUGACGCUGAGACGCGAAAGCGUGGGGGAGCAAACAGG
rnacentral:rRNA from 1 species